GGCAGGUGUGGAUCGUGUAGCAUAGGCGGGAGGCUGUGAAGCGUGGGCGCUAGCUUGCGUGGAGUCGACAGGUGAAAUACCGCUCUUUCCAUAUCUGGCGUCUAACCUCGACACGUUAUCCGUGUCAGGGACAGUGCCUGGCGGGUAGUUUAACUGGGGCGGUUGCCUCCUAAAGAGUAACGGAGGCGCUCAAUGGUCCGCUCAGCCCGGUUGGCAAUCGGGUGUUGAGUGUAAUCGCACAAGCGGGCUUGACUGUGAGACUGACGGGUCGAGCAGGGACGAAAGUCGGAGAUAGUGAUCCGGUGCCGGCGUACGGACGUGGCAUCGCUCAACGGAUAAAAGGUACCCCGGGGAUAACAGGCUGAUCAUUCCCAAG
rnacentral:rRNA from 1 species